rnacentral:rRNA from 1 species
ACGAAGGGUGCAAGCGUUAAUCGGAAUUACUGGGCGUAAAGGGUGUGUAGGCGGUUCUUUAAGUUUGGUGUGAAAUCUCCCGGCUCAACUGGGAGGGUGCGCCGAAUACUGAGGGACUCGAGUGCGGGAGAGGAAAGUGGAAUUCCUGGUGUAGCGGUGAAAUGCGUAGAUAUCAGGAGAACACCGGUGGUGUAGACGGCUUUCUGGACCGUAACUGACGCUGAGACACGAAAGCGUGGGUAGCAAACAGGA